CAGAGAUAGGACUUCAAUUGGUUUCACAUGCUGCACAGUACCAUUGGAUCCAAGUCGAACUAUUGGAGAUCUACAACAUAAUUUGGAUAAUUUUUUGAGAAGACAAGUAUUCUUACGCAAGAGUCGCGACUUUCACAAAUGGUGGAAACAAUAUCAUUGAUUCAAUCUAAUGCAUCUUCGGUCAGAUUUUCAUGAACUCAGAAAUCUGAUUCCAUCCUCUUCUUCACAUGGCUUGUCCGGUAAACCUAAAAUCGCAUCAAUCUCAAGGAAAUCCAGGAGUAAGUUAUUUAUGUCUGAAAUCAAACAGAACCCAGAGAGAAAGAAAUAAGCAAUACCUGUAGAUCUUCCAACCAUGGCUUUAAAACAGAAAUCAUCAAAGGCAAGCCCUUCCAAUCAUGGAAGCUGAAGAUGUUUCCAAAGAGGAUUGUGGGAAAGGUAAGUUUUUAUGAGAUUCGCGAAGACUUAAGAGAAUCAUCAAUAGAUGGAAAGAUUAGUGGUAAAUCUGAAACC
rnacentral:lncRNA from 1 species